AAAACAUGUCCUUUAGAAUUCAAUUUAAGGUCUAGCCUGCCCACUGAUUUAAAUGGCCGCAGUAUUUUAACUGUGCAAAGGUAGCAUAAUCAUUAGUCUUUUAAUUGAAGGCUUGUAUGAAUGGUUGGACGAAAUAUUAACUGUUUCAUAAAAAUUUAUUUAGAAUUUUAUUUUUUAGUUAAAAAGCUAAAAUUUUUUUAAAAGACGAGAAGACCCUAUAGAUCUUUAUAAUUUGUUUGUUAUAGUUAUAUAGAUUAUUUAAAUUAUGAUUUUAUAAAUUAUUUUGUUGGGGUGACAUUAAAAUUUAAUAAACUUUUAAUAAAUUAUUACAUUAAUUUAUGAAUAAUUGAUCCAUUAUUAGUGAUUAUAAAAUUAAGUUACCUUAGGGAUAACAGCGUAAUUUUUUUGAAGAGUUCAUAUCGAUAAAAAAGAUUGCGACCUCGAUGUUGGAUUAAGAUAUAAUUUUGGGUGCAGCAAUUCAAUAAUUAAGUCUGUUCGACUUUUAAUUUCUUACAUGA
rnacentral:rRNA from 1 species